rnacentral:rRNA from 1 species
UACGUAGGGGGCGAGCGUUGUCCGGAGUUAUUGGGCGUAAAGAGCUCGUAGGCGGUUUGGCAAGUGGGGUGUGAAAACUCCGGGCUCAACUCGGAGACGCCACUCGAUACUGCCAUGACUUGAGUCCGGUAGGGGAGUGCGGAAUUCCUGGUGUAGCGGUGAAAUGCGCAGAUAUCAGGAGGAACACCGGUGGCGAAGGCGGCACUCUGGGCCGGUACUGACGCUGAGGAGCGAAAGCGUGGGGAGCGAACAGG